rnacentral:rRNA from 1 species
GGGGUUACUGAUUGCUAUUGCACCACAUGUGUUUUUCUUUGAAACAAACUUGCUUUGGCGGUGGGCCCAGCCUGCCGCCAGAGGUCUAAACUUGCAACCAAUUUUUUAUCAACUUGUCACACCAGAUUAUUACUAAUAGUCAAAACUUUCAACAACGGAUCUCUUGGUUCUCGCAUCGAUGAAGAACGCAGCGAAAUGCGAUACGUAAUAUGAAUUGCAGAUAUUCGUGAAUCAUCGAAUUUUUGAACGCACAUUGCGCCCUCUGGUAUUCCGGAGGGCAUGCCUGUUUGAGCGUCGUUUCUCCCUCAAACCGCUGGGUUUGGUGUUGAGCAAUACGACUUGGGUUUGCUUGAAAGACGGUAGUGGUAAGGCGGGAUCGCUUUGACAAUGGCUUAGGUCUAACCAAAAACAUUGCUUGCGGCGGUAACGUCUACCACGUAUAUCUUCAAACUUUGACCUCAAAUCAGGUAGGACUACCCGCUGAACUUAAGCAUAUCAAUAAAGCGGAGGAA